UGGGGAAUAUUGCACAAUGGACGAAAGUCUGAUGCAGCAACGCCGCGUGGAGGAUGACACCUUUCGGUUCGUAAACUCCUUUUAUAUGGGAAGAUAAUGACGGUACCAUAUGGAUAAGCACCGGCUAACUCCGUGCCAGCAGCCGCGGUAAUACGGAGGGUGCAAGCGUUACUCGGAAUCACUGGGCGUAAAGCGCGUGUAGGCGGAUAGAUAAGUCAGAAGUGAAAUCCAAGAGCGUAACUAUUGAACUGCUUUUGAAACU
rnacentral:rRNA from 1 species